UACGUAGGGGGGCUAGCGUUGUCCGGAAUCAUUGGGCGUAAAGAGCGCGUAGGCGGCCAGAUAAGUCCGGUGUGAAAGUCAAAGGCUCAACCUUUGAAUGCCGCUGGAAACUGUCUGGCUAGAGUCCGGGAGGGGCGAGUGGAAUUCCUGGUGUAGCGGUGAAAUGCGCAGAUAUCAGGAGGAACACCAAUGGCGAAGGCAGCUCGCUGGAACGGUACUGACGCUGAGGCGCGAAAGCGUGGGGGAGCGAACAGG
rnacentral:rRNA from 1 species